rnacentral:lncRNA from 1 species
UGCAUAUUCACAUUAUAUUUAUUGUAGAGAGGAGCUGUUUGACUUUUUAGAGAAUAGUGAGGGUACUGUUCAUCUGCCAGAUGGAUCGAAUUGUACGAUCAAGGACAUUAAGACUGUCAACUUACAAACUUAUGAUGGAGAAUGAAGAAAUUGGACGAGGUCUGAUACUUAUCCAAUUUUAGAAGUAAUCUAAUUUUACUGAGCAGCCUGAAUUCAAGUAGCUACAGAUGGAGAGCUGAUGAUGAAAUUCUGAAGGUUUUGUGCGGCAGUAGGAUUAUGUUUAAGAAAAAAAAGUAAUGAAGACAUUACCUUUUGAUUAGGAGCUUAGCGUGAGGUAGAGCUUUAGGAGCCAAUGAGAAUUCAAAGUGAGGUGGAGCUUCAGGUACAAGUGGAAAAAGCAUGAGACGAAAAACUCGAGAGGAUGACAGGCGACAUCGCAGGAUGAAGUUCCUAUUGCCGUAAAAAGCUACCCCGAGCAGAUCUCAGAUC